rnacentral:lncRNA from 1 species
AUGAAUCAUACAAACAACUUGGAUCUAUAGAAAACAACAAGAACCCCAAUCAUACAAAACCCAUAAUCUUCUUUUACAACCUUAAGUCAAAAACUCAAGACAAUAAACACUCUAUAUAAAAACGCAGAUCUAAGGCGCGAGAAAAAGGAGAUCUGAAGCGCAUAAGUUAAGCCGUCACCAUUUUGAACAGAUCUAAAGCGCAAGAAGAAGAAGAAGAAUCACUAUUGAUGUUGUUUCCAUCACCUUCAACAGCUCUUUUUUUUAUCACUUGUAACAAAUCAAAUAUGUUAUUUUGCAGAGAAAGGAUAAGAAGGAAGAGAUGAAGAAUGAGACAAAUCGCAGAGAAAAAAGAGUGAGAAGAAGGAAGAAACGAGGAAAAGAAGAAAAUAAAAGAAAAACUAUCACUGUUGUAUUUUAUUAGAUUAGGUUAAAAAUCAUAAGGGUAUAUUGAUAAAUGUCUUAAUUUACGAGUUAAAAAUAAAUGAAUUAUAAAUAAAAUUAGACUGGGUCCAGUGUAGACAUAUAGGGGCUAUAGAGGAGAUGUUUCUCAAAGAUGAAUGCAUUUGCAUGAAGAACUAUAAAUACACCUAUUCAUCAAUAUCUCUAAUCUCUAUUUAUAAUCACUUUCUAAUGAAUCGGUCAUUUGAACAAGUAGUACCUUUAUUUUGAAGAUUAAUGCUUUGUAAAUAAAAAAUAGAAAUCAAUAUAUGUAUCCUCCCUUAUGUUAAGGAUUCAAUUCCCACCUUCAGUAUUUCCACUUCAUUCUCAUUCCAGUUUGCUAUUAAAACCUCAGAACAUAACAUUUUUCCACGACUAAAUUGUUUCAAAUUUCUCAAUAAAUAUUUAUUCAAGGCUAAGUAAUUAUCAAUACCUACUAAUUCAUCCAAAAAUGAAGACCAUUCCAUUAAUGUGCAUGGCCUCGUCAUACUCUUGACAUCAUUCCCGGCUAUGAUCAAGAGUAACAAGUUCGCAGACGCUUGCUCUGCAAGUCUUGAUUUCUGCUUGCGCGAAAUUCCAAAAAAUAACCACCACAAAGCCAAAUGUUGUGAACAACAUACAGGGAAACAAUCACCGCCGUCAAGAUCAUGUAAAUGUAUAUUAAUAAAAGAUACAGCUAAAUUUUUGCUUCUUGCCAAACUUUACAAUUUAUGUGGAUCAGCUAUUUUGAAUGAACAUAUCCCGUGUUAAUGAUGCGCGCGUAGGAUAGCCAACCAACCAAACCCCAAGAAUCGUCAAACCAAAUUGGAGAUAUUUUAUCCUCAGCUAUUUCCUAAUUUUGUUUUAAUCAAGUUAUUGUUUAAUAGGAGAGAUUAUUGGUCUUGUUUAUGUUCACGAAUCAGAGAUUAUUGGUCUUGUUUAUGUUCACGAACCAUCUCUCUCUCUCGUUUUUUCUUCCUCGUUUGAAUUACAAUUCCAUGUUCUCUAUUUGUUUUUUUUAUUUUUAUGUACUUUCUUAAAUAAAACUGAAAAGGUAUAGUCUACUCUAAAAUUACUACAAUUAAGAAAUAUUUGUUCUUAAUCUUGGUGCUUUGGAACUUAACACCAACUUUAUUCAUAAUGUAAAGGGAAAAGGGGAUAGUACUAGGGAUUCAGAGAGCGAAGCUUGCUUAGCGAAGGGACUCUUCUGUUUUUUGAAUCAGAAAGUCUUAAUAAACUUUUUUUUUCUUGGCAUGAUCUCUCUGGUGAAACAGUGGUGAUCACAUGUACGUACCUUUUCUUUCAACUCAAGACUGGAUAAGAUCACUCAACUAUUCUAUCAUUGAUGGCUGGCGGCCGUGGAUGAUUCACACAACCAAUUCUCUGGGUACAAAUUAACCAGUUUUUGUUUUACAUUCUAACAAAUGGACACACACCUUUAAGAUCAAACAAUUUAUUUUGUAUUUCAGAUACACAAAAGGACUUAUAAGAUGACAUUUGCCACAGUGAAAGCAAGUCUUACAUGUUCUUAUUACAUUAAUGAAAAGAGCUUUUUUAUACUUGAGAGUUUCUCAGUUUUUGUGGGUUUUGUUUAUAGGGAUGGUGUAUAAACCAGAGGAGUGCUCAGUCAUAUUCGAGAGAUGGAUUAAUGGCCAGCCUCUGUAACAUUCUAUCUAUCAGCGAUUUGGUUGAAAACCUUUUGCAAAAUCUUGAUAUGGUGAUGUCUACAUAGUUUAUAUCUCUGGCUUAGAUAUAGCAACACUUACUGUUGUUCAAUAAAAAAAAGCUGGUUAAUCUUAACAUUGAUAAGAAUGUGAAUCAGAUAGAAAAAAAGUUACCACGCUAGAGUGAUAAAUCUGUGAUAGUCUUGAUUAUGUAAGACCUACACAAAUCAUACAAAGGUGUGUUUAGUGUCUCACCUUACCGUUUUCUUUUCUUCCCCAAAGAGUUCUUCUCCGGGUGGAUGUGGCUUAGAAAACUGUAUGACUCUGAGUUUGGAGUUUGAUCAUUUAGGUACAUAGGUGUUGGUGAGGCAAAGGAAGAUCAGUUGUUCUACUACUUCAUUAAAUCAGAGAGGAACCCAGAAGAAGAUCCUCUUCUUGUCUGGCUAGCUGGAGGACCUGGCUGCUCUUCUUUCUCUGGCCUUGUUUAUGAGAAUGGUAAAAUCUUUAAGUCUUGCUUCUUCUUUUGUCUCCACAGAAAAUAAUAGUCAAUGACUUGUUUGAAUGGAACAAAAAAAAACCAGGACCACUUGGUUUUAAGGUGGAGACAUACAAUGGAAGUAUCCCAUCCUUGGUCUCUACUACAUAUUCAUGGACUAAGGUAACAUCAAGUAUUAAUCAUAACAAACCAAAUUAAACUCUUCUUCAUCUUCAAGUUUUAAAAUCAUUGCUUCUUUUGAUUCAGGUGGCGAAUAUAAUAUAUUUGGACCAGCCUGUUGGGACUGGCUUCUCAUACUCAAGAAAUCAACUAUCUGAUACACCAAGUGACACUGAAGUAGCUAAACGGGUUAAUGAGUUUCUUCGUAAGGUAAAGUGCAAACUCACAUCUACCUUUUGAUGCAUACACACAUUUAAGAGUGUGUUUCUUUUUGUGUUUGUUGUGCAGUGGCUAGCCAAGCAUCCUGAAUAUUUCUCCAAUCCUCUCUAUGUCGCCGGAAACUCUUAUUCUGGUAUAGUCAUUCCAGCCAUCGUUCAAGAAAUCUCAAAUGGUAACUUUUUUUAAUCUUGUAUCACUCCAACCCCUAUGCAAGCACCUUCUCUUUGAUUCUUGUUUCUUGAUCAGUUAACCAUCUUAUCACAGGAAAUGACAUAUGCAGCGAACCUCAAAUAAAUCUCAAGGUUCAUCAGUAGUUGCUUGCUCCUUACUCUACUUCCACAGACCUUAUCAAGCAUUAAGAAUUAAAUAUAGUAUUUGUGUUCUCCCCUCUCUAUGAUGUCUAACAACAGGGCUACUUGCUUGGAAACCCGUUAACAGACAGUGUACUUGAUGGGAACGCUCGCAUUCCAUUUGCUCAUGGAAAGGCACUCAUCUCUGAUGAGCUCUAUGAUGUAUAGUUACACAACCUAGAAUCUCUUGUCUCCAUAGUGAAGUAGUUAACAACCAUUUCAAAACUUUUAACUUUGUAGUCAAUGAAGAGAAGCUGUGGAGGCAAUUAUUUCAACGUGUUUCCUCUUAACACAGAAUGCUUGAAACUCGUUGAAGAGUUCAAGCAGGUAUGUACACAUUCUGGAAACUAGUUGCAGCUUCAAUGGUUAAGUCACUAACUAACUUAGGAUAUGCAUGUGGUUUAUUUUCAGUGUGUUUUUAGAAUAUAUGAAGAACUUAUCCUAGCAUCAAACUGUGAUCCAAAAUCUCCUGAUUGCUAUGUGAGCUCCUUUAUAUCUUUUGAUCAAUUAAUGGCUAGUCACUUAACAAACCACUAGAAAACAAUGUUGCGUGCUGCAGACGUAUCGGUAUUCCUUAUCAGAAUACUGGGCUAAUAACGAGAGCGUACGCAGAGCACUUAAAGUGGUGAAGGUAUGUGACAAAGUUUAUAUUAGCAUACAUCAUUGGUAAUAACUGGUGAUAUGAUUAAACUUUCUUGAGGGUUUUGAGUGCAGGGGACUAUAGGGAAAUGGAAACGAUGUGACUAUAAUAUGCGGUGCCCUCAUGACAUUAUAAGCAGCAUACCAUACCAUCUGAAUAACAGCAUCAAAGGCUAUCGAUCUCUCAUCUUUAGGUACACAAAUUUUAAACAACUUAUUUAAUUACAAGCUUCUGCUUAUUCAAAUAUUGUUUGUAAAUUUUUCUUUGUCAUGGUUGUGACUUGUGAACAGCGGUGAUCACGAUAUGACAAUCCCUUAUGUUGCAACGCAAGCAUGGAUAAGGUCACUCAACUAUUCCGUUACUGAGAAAUGGAGGCCAUGGAUGAUACUUGAUAAAGUCGCUGGAUACACCAAGACUUAUGCUAAUAAGAUGACAUUUGCUACUGUGAAGGUUACCUCUUUGUUACACAUCUUUACUAACGUAAUUAAUGCAGAGUUUUGUUUCUUGAUUUGGUAUGUGGGUUUGGUUUAUAUAGGGAGGUGGGCACACGUUGGAGUAUAAACCAGAGGAAAAUUCAAUCAUGUUCAAGAGGUGGAUAAGUGGUCAACUUCUCUAACAGACUGAAACAUUAACUGAAUUGAUCUAAACUAAUGAUUGGUUUAUGGAUUUACCAUAAAUAAAUGUUACAUGUUAUUUGAAGAGUUUUCGUUUUCAGGAAAAGGGACAAAUUUUUUUUUAGUUAUAAAUGUAAAACGUGACAACUUGAAGAAGUUAUAGGUGGGGGACUAUUACCAUUACACCAAAAAUAAUUUCUGAGGAUUUGUCUCAUCUGUUUUAAUUUAGAACGUAAAGCACAUGUUUAUUGGACUUUAGCUUGCUGAAUUUUAGCCAUGGCUCGCCCUGAUUCCACCCUCUGAGAUUGAAUGGGGACUUGGUCCUUGGAUGGUCUGACAGAAUAAUUAUUUCGUAAUAAUAUUAAAACAUUUAAAAAUAAACAAUUUCAUUUCAUAAUUAUUCUAUGCGUAGCCUCUCGUCCUAAAUGUGGCAUUAACUCAGAAACUCAAAAAAAAAAAAAUACAAAUGGAGAUCAAGUUGCUGCUGCUUCUUGUUCUUGAGCUUCUUCCUCUUGCGUUCAUUAAGCAUGCUUGUUCAAGAUCUACCGUCAGAUAUCUCCCUGGUUUCCAAGGCCCUCUUCCUUUCGAGCUUGAAACCGGGUUCUGUUCCUCUUCUCAUCUCAUUUCAAGAUUAACAGUCUUUAAGAAUGAAUGACUAUGUGAUCUGAAUUUCUGGAGUUAAGUCGUUUAGGUACAUAGGUGUUGGUGAGGCAGAGGAAGACCAGUUGUUCUACUACUUCAUCAAAUCUGAGAGAAACCCAGAAGAGGACCCUCUUCUUAUCUGGUUAAGUGGAGGACCUGGCUGCACUUCUCUCUCUGGCCUUCUUUUUGAGAAUGGUAACAUCUAAAACUCUCUUCUUCUCUAGAGAAAUUUUUGAUGCUUUUGUUUUCAAAUUUGAAAUCAAUGCAGGGCCUCUGUCUUUCAACAUUGAGUCUGACAAUGGAGAUAUCCCAUCAUUGGUCUCUACUACAUAUUCAUGGACUAAGGUUAACACAAAAUGCUUAUUUAAUAGGACAUAGAAACUCUUUAACGUCAUCUUCAAGUUUUUGGAUGACUGCUUCUAUUGAUUCAGGUGGCCAAUAUAAUCUAUUUGGAUCAGCCUGCUGGGACUGGCUUCUCUUACUCAAGAAACCCACUUGCUGAUAUACCAAGUGACUUAAGAUCAGCAAAGCUGGUCAAUGAGUUUGUUCAUAAUGUAAAGAGAAAACUCAAAUUGUUUCAAGUAUUUUUUUUAAUGAUUUUGUGCAUAGACCUUUGGAGAUUUUUUUUGUCCUCAUUGGUGGUUGUUGUGCAGUGGCUAGCUAAGCAUCCUGAGUAUUAUUCAAAUCCUUUCUAUGUCACCGGAAACUCUUACUCCGGUAUAGUGGUUCCGGCCAUCGUUCAAGAAAUCUCAAAUGGUAAGUUUCUUAUACCACACUUCAAUCUCUAUGCAAACCCCUUCCCUUUGACACUUGUUUCUUGAUAGGUUAUUUCUCUUACUUUUAUUGCAGAAAAUGGUUUAUGUUGUAAACCUCUAGUAAAUCUUCAGGUUCAUUGAUCUUGCUCUUGUUUUUUAUUACACAUUACCUUGUCGAGAUCAUCUAGAAUUAACAAAAAAAGACAGGGUUACGUCCUGGGAAAUCCUGUAACAGAUUUUGAUAAUAAUGAUAACUGGCGCAUUCCAUUUGCUCAUGGAAUGGCUCUGAUCUCUGAUGAAAACUACCAGGUACAAGCACUGUGUGUAUGUUUUUCUUGUCACCACCAUAAUGAAGCUGCUGAGAAACUAACUCAUGAUUUUUUCUUGUCACCACCAUAAGUUAGUUCAAAAAAACUAACUCAUGAUUUUUCUUUGCAGCUUCUGAGGAGAAGUUGUAGAGGAAACUAUAUUAUAGUGGAUCCUCUUAACACAGAUUGCUUGAAAUCAGUUAAAGAGUUUGAGAAUGUAAAUAUACACACACUGAAAUAUUUAAACACUAAGUUUCAAAAUAAAUAAAUAAUAUAUAUAUGAAAUACCACUAACUUCAGGCUUUGUGCUUAUCUACAGUGUGUUUCUGGAUUAGAUGUAACAUAUAUUCUAGGACUAAAGUAUGUAAACGCAUCUGAUCCGUAUGUAAGCAAUCCCUCUGAGCAUCGCAUGUCUGUGCAGUCUAACUGUUGGGCCAAUGAUGAGAGUGUGCGCAGAGCUCUUCAUGUGGAGAAGGUAAUCUACCUAUGAUGAAAAAGUUUAAUAUUAGAUGGCUUUUGUAAAGGCUUUGAUUGAUGGUAAUUAAUGAAACCGUGAGUUUGCAGGGGAGUAUAGGAGAAUGGUUAAGAUGUUAUCGUGAAAUACCUUACAAAUUUGACAUUAGAAGCAGCGUACCAUACCAUAAAAACAACAGCAUCCAAGGAUACCGAUCUCUCAUCUUCAGGUCCACAACAACUCUUCUUUAUUCUUCUGUUAAGAUUUACAAGGUCUUAAUAAACUCUUUUUUUUUCUUUGGCAUGAUCUUUCUGGUGAAACAGUGGUGAUCACGACAUGUACGUACCUUUUCUUGCAACUCAAGACUGGAUAAGAUCACUCAACUAUUCCAUUAUUGACGACUGGAGGCCGUGGAUGAUUCACAAUCAAGUCGCUGGGUACAAUUCAAACAGUUUUUCUUUUAUAUAUUUGAUUAUUUCUCUAACAAAAGGACACACACACAUCUUUAAGAUCAAACAAUUUUUUUUUGGUUGCAGAUACACAAGGACUUAUGCUAAUAAUAUGACAUUUGCCACUGUGAAAGCAAGUCUUACAUGUUCUUAUUACAUGAAAAAAAUAAUUUUUUUAUACUUGAGAGUUUCUCAGUUUUUGUGGGUUUGGUUUGGUUUAUAGGGAGGCGGGCACACGAUGGUGUAUAAACCUGAGGAGUGCUCUGUCAUGUUCGAGAGAUGGAUCAAUGGCCAGCCUCUGUAACAUUCUCCUAUCAGCGACUUGGUUGAGAACGCCAACUUUUCCAUGCCCCCAUAUGCCAUAAAGCAAUUUCCUAUGGGCCUUUUGAAUCUCCUAUGCUCCGAUUGAUUUAAUGAACAUGAAUAUUCGAUUUUGCCUUUUUGUAUUUUUGAUUAUUUAAAAAAAAAAAUUCAAAUUUCAAAAUUUUAAAAUUUCAAAUUUCGGAUAAUACAAGAUAUAGUUUUACUGAGUUAUACCGAGUUGUACUUCUGGAUUAGUUAUACUGAAUUAUACGGGUUGUACUGAAUUAUACUGGUUAUACUAAGUUAUACUGCGUUAUACUGAAUUAUAUUGCGUACUACUAGUGAGUCAGCUAUACCGAGUUGUAUUAGUUAUACAACGUUAUACUAGUUAUAUUGAGUAAUGAGUACUAUUGAAUUCAGAUCUGAAGAUGAAAAUGAAUAGAGAUAUGAAUUAUACUCUAAAAAGAAGGAGAACAAUAAGAACCAUGAAUCAUACAAACAACUCGGAUCUAUAGAGAACAACAAGAACCCCAAUCAUACAAAACCCAUAAUCUUCUUUUACAACCUUAAAUCAAAAACUCAAGACAAACACUCUAUAUAAAAAAAAACGCAGAUCUAAAGCGCGAGAAAAGGGAGAUCUGAAGCGCAUAAGUUAAGCCGUCACCAUUUUAAACAGUUCUAAAGCGCAAGAAGAAGAAGAAUCACCAUUGAUGUUGUUUCCAUCACCUUCAACAGCUGUUUUUCAUCACUUAUAACAGAUCAAAUUUGUUAUUUUGCAGUAAAAAAGAGAAAGAAUAAGAAGGAAGAGAUGAAGAAUGAGAUAAAUCUCAGAGAAAAAAGAGUGAAAAGAAGGAAGAAACGAGGAAAAUAAAAAAAUAAAAGAAAAACUGUCACGGUUGUAUUUUAUUAGAUUAUGUUAAAAAUCAUAAGGGUGUAGUGAUAAAUGUCUUAAUUUACGAGUUAAAAAUAAAUGAAUUAUAAAUAAAAUUAGAC